CACGACCACUGUGACGUCACUUCCCUUAAUAAUUAUAUCCUUACACUAUACACGUUUCACAACUAUAAUUUGAACACCUGCUUGCCAUAAAUAAAUAUAUGUUUACACUAUACACAAGUGAAUCAUGUUGUGUCAUUUACAUGACGGGUAAAUUAAAUGAACAUGUCUUGAUUAGGUACGACAUACUUUGGACAAGGAAGAGACCUGCAGAUAAAUAACACAAUUAAACAAACAAGUACUGAAAUAUAAGUGCUCCGCAUUAAGCUUGCUAGUAAGGAAAAUAUCAGGAGAUGGCUUGCUAGCUUUCACCUCUAGAUCACCCCCAUGGCAACUUGAUACAUCAGAGCAAGAAAACAUUCCUCAAUGGUUACAAACCUUCGGUGCAAAAUGACAUUCAUGGGAUCUGAAGACAUCACUAAGAAAUAUCAGGUUCUAUAUGAGUUUGACUUAUUAAAGAACAGAGAACAAUGAAGAAAAGUGCAGUACAUUAAAUCAAGGCCAAAUGAUACAUUGCAUGCAUCAGCGAGCAAAAAAAUAAAUGGUGUCUAAUAUUAUGUUUUCCCCUUCCAAUAGAGAGACUCCUUCUAUAUGUUUAACCAGUGAUUAAUUCCGGUUACACCAAAUAAACAUAGUUCUAAAUGACACCAACAUUUUUUAUGAAACAAAGGACAACCAAAAUUAACUCCCCUCGCGUGGAAACUUCAUGUCCUUUCAACUCUGAAAUUCCACCAAAGGUAAGCAUACAAUAAUUUUAUAGUGUAUAAUUAUACAAAAGAAGAACAUGUUACGUGUGUAGAUAGCGCAAGGUGGCAUAUUAUCAUUGAGAGCAUAUAUUAGCACAUAGUAUGAUGAAAAUUGGAACCGGAUGUACUGUCAGCAUGUCUUUCUCCUUAUUCUGUAUAUCAUCAUUUCCUCUACACUUGACAUGAUAGCUUGAGAAAAAAAAGAUGAGUAUCCAGAUAUGUACAUAGUUAUGGCUAGAUUCCUUGUUUUGUCCAAGAAAGAUAAGUCAUGAGCCCAUCAUCUUAUUACAGCAAGGCACAUCUUUAUCAGUGGUGCAAGAGGUGUAAAUUUUAUAUUUUCUUUUCAAGAAAAAACUCCUGCAAUUUCCAAAUGCAUGGCCGCAGCCGCUGGCUGCAACGUCGACCCAAUGGUGCUUGUCUGGGCGAAGUACAAGGCCGUUGGGCUCGUCGCCUGGCAGUUCUGCAACCCACAUCAGUUUCUAUGACUAUAAUUUCUACUAUUGUACUCUUUGUAGUUUCUAAUGCAUAAAUUAAUCUAAUGUUGGGAGAUUUCCAAGGACUAACUAAGACAAUCAGAAUCGGAGAGGAGAGUUUCUCAACAGCAACAAAAUGAAUUAGAGGAGAGUCAACUAACCUUCCUUUCUUGCUUCGUCACCCCCUCAUGGGUUAUGAGCUAUGACGACCAUGAUGCCGGCCGUGCGUCCGAGCGCCUGUGGUCUGUACAUCGACGACCUGCCCUUUUCUCAUUUUCUGGUCACCGAAGAGUUCGAUCGACCAGAAACAUGGAAGGGCGAGAGUACUCAUGUUCCUGCCCUGUGUGUGUUUUCUUUGUGCGAAAGUUCCUGUUUCAGUCAGAGAGGUAGAACAAUAAGAAAAUGAGGUCUUUCACUUCCUUACAGAAUGAAAUUUCUGUCUUGCAAGUUUACAAAGUCAUCAAGUUAAGCACUUACGAAAAAAUUAUCUGACUCAGAAAGCUGAUAUCACUCAUACAAAAAACAUUUUAUACAAUAUUGAGUUUUGACAUAGCUAUCAAAUCUGAACUGAACUUCACAGAAUUCAAAAGUUGUAUAGCUGACAAUGGGCCGUAGAUGUUUAGGAAAUAUAGCAAAUACUAAUGGUAAAAUAGUAAAGAUGGUACUAAAGGAAUACACUUAUAAACUAACCUCAUUUUCUACCAAAAAGCAGCGUUCUUCUAGUAUUUCUUGAUAUGAAAUCCUCGAUCAAAUCUUCAUAAUUAAUCUUCUCCAAGACAUCAUUUUCAAGUGCUAUUGUUGCCAAUACAUUCAGUCUUUCUUGUGUCAUAGUCGAACGCAAGUAGGAUUUCAACAAACUUCAGUUUAGAAAAGCUCCUUUCGACAGAUGCAAUCGUCACAUGAAUGGUUAACAAAAUUCUGUAUGCAAUAACAGCAUUAGGAUAGAUUCAGGAGCGCUUCUUCACAUGGUUCAAAAAAUGUAAGUGAUAACUUUUUAGGAUUCGAAGUCAAGAUGCUUUGUCACACACGUCAGGCACUAGCCAUUACAACCUGCUAUUUCUUAUUAAUGUCAGAAGCUCAUAUGCGCAUGUUUCUCAUAACAGCUUUUGUUCAAGUGAUAAGGCGCGAACCAUAAUACCUCGUAUGCGAAAAAUGUACUCUUUUGUAUCAUUGAAUAACUCUUUUUUGAAAAAAUAGACGAGGUGUGUUAGCAAUGUCUCGAAUAGCACCCUUCUGAUAAAAACAUGCCGAGCAAAUCGCUAGAAUGGACGCCACAGUUUGUCAGGUAUGUGAUCAAAUAAAUUAUAUUUUUACACUAAAAAUUUUAAUUCCAAUUUUGUUCGAAAAUUUAAAAUAGAAGUACCAAAACAAUCCAGAUUUUCCAUAAACCCAGGUUUUCGGUCCCUCCAGGAAAAGAAUACCGAAAUUGAUGAAAAAAAUUGUUUCAAACCCCUUCUGCGGCAUGUAUUUUGGUUUCAAAUCAAGUAUUAUGCCUAAAAUAAUUUUUGAAUGAAGCCAAAAAUAACAAAAUAGGAAAAACCUUGUUCGAACCCCCUGUGCAACAUGUAUUUUGGCCACAAAUCAAUUAUUAUUAUCAAAUGUCUAAAUAUAGGUUUUGGCUGCAGUGGCUAGUACAUGGGUCGUGCCGGGCAACGCCCUGGGUUUUAUUUUGAUUUUAUUUCUUUCCUUGCAACUGACAUCUAGGACCCACACGUAGGUUGGAGCGUAGGCCAACUGACGUGUCGUGUUGAACAGAAAGUUAACGGAAAUGUACUGAAAUGUAUCUGAAACGCAAGUUAUAUGGUCGGUUUGUAUCAUUUUCAAGUUUAUUUAUGAAUUUGUUCAUGGAGUGCAAGUUUAUGUACCAAUAGUGUAAUUAACUCAUAUCUUUAUGUUCUCCACUCUUAAGUGCAUCUUCAAGAUUAACACAAGCAGCCAAUAAACUCUUGUCAUCCAAGGAUCGCAGCCUAUCUGUAGUAAAUAAGAAACCAAAUAUCUAGUUUUUGUUUAUUCCUUCGCUUUGAAGCACCAGAAUGAUACAUCCUUCCCGGAUGCAUGAUUCCUUCUGUUUAAUAAGACAAACAUAAUCUGAAUCAAUUCAAACUCUGAUAAUUGUAGCUAUAAGAAAAUAGAAAAGGACUUCACCCAGAUGUAAGAUUUUGAAUUUUUCGUUUAACAAAAAAGUAGCCUACUGCCUACUGCCUACACUAACGAAAUAAAGUAGGGCUUGGACGCUUUAUCUACAAGAACCAUGGCCUGACAAGAACUUACCCUAGCAAGGGUUGGGAUGUGCGCUAGGGCUAGUUCAUUCGUUGGCUCAAACCUACAAGUUUCAGGUAAAAACAGCACAGGUAAAAGGCUAUUUCACACAGCAUAGGUUGGGGCAUGAGGUUCAGGCGUGACGCUGGGGCUCAGGAACUCACUCGUACGGCGACUUGGGGGUUGGCGACUCCAUGGAUGCUUCAGCAGCCGCAGCAGCGCGAGCCAACAGCCGGGAGCCUGCUCCCCUCCGCCGCGGGCCACUGCCGUGCCGCGCAGCUCCAGUCGCCGCGGGCCGCGGCGCCCGCCUCCCGCCGCCUUGGGC
rnacentral:lncRNA from 1 species